AGAGUACACGUGGGAACGCGCCCUUCGGUUCGGAAUAACCCAGGGAAACUUGGGCUAAUACCGGAUACGCCCUUACGGGGAAAGAUUAUUGGCGAAGGAACGGCCCGCGUCCGAUUAGCUUGUUGCUGAGGUAACGGCUCACCAAGGCGACGAUCGGUAGCUGGUCUGAGAGGAUGACCAGCCUCACUGGGACUGAGACA
rnacentral:rRNA from 1 species